rnacentral:tRNA from 1 species
GGCUGUAGCUCAGUGGCAGAGCACUGGACUCUCACGUGUGAGGAACUGAGUUCAAUCCUCAGCACCA